CAUUUGGUUACAUGAGUCAGUUCUUUAGUGGUGAUUUGUGAGAUUUUGGUGCACUCAUCACCUGGGAAGCAUACACUGAACCCAGUUUGUAGUCUUUUAUCCCUCACCCCCUUCCCACUCUUUCUCCCUGAGUCCCCAAAGUCCAUUGUGUCAUUCUUAUGCCUUUGCAUCCUCAUAGCUUAGCUCUCACUUAUGAGUGAGAACAGACAAUGUUUGGUUUUCCAUUCCUGAGUUACUUCACUUAGAAUAAUAGUCUCCAGUCUCAUCCAGGUUGCUUCGAAUAUGCUUAGGGGACAUUUUAAACAGUGAAAUCACCAACACAAAGCACAAAAGCAUGAAAAAUGUGGCACCAAAUAGCCUGCGAAAAGGACACUUGUUUGCAUUGUGGGAGCUGAAGCCAGCAGGCUGAGCGGGCCUUGUUCCACCCCCGCUGGGAAUGUGCGUGUUGAGCAGCCCUCAUUCUUCCCCACUCUGUGUGUGUCCGAGAAUGACCCCAAAAGUGCAGCCAGUAUUGAUUUUGGGGUUACAGAUACAAUUUCGCAGGUAGGUGAAUUUGUACAUAUGGAAUCCAUGAAUGGUGAGCAUGGGCUGCAUUUUGCAAGCUCUGUUUGCCCAGUGGUGAGCUGGGUCUCACAGCAACUGGCAGCAAGAGUUGACCAGGCAUGAGGAUGGUGCAGGGGAGCCAUGGAGUGGGGGCCUGAGUUGCUGUGGAGGGUCGAGAGGGCAGGUUGGCUGGUGCCCAUCGAGGACUGGGGACCCAGCAGUGCAGCCGCUGCAGGCUCUGGGCUGUGACUUCUGGCUUGCAUCAGCACCCAAAUCACCACAGAUCUUGGACUUCCACCCUCAGUGGGCUGAUAAUUCAAAAUUCACAACUUGGUUUUCCCGUAGAAACCGUGUUAUGAGCGGUGGGUUAGUCCUCAGCUUGGGUCACAGAGGCCCAUGGCUCACAUUAGUGGUAGGCUGGGA
rnacentral:lncRNA from 10 species